rnacentral:lncRNA from 1 species
CUUCAGUCCUUGCCAGUACUCAUUAAUUAAAUUCUGACUUUUCUGAAAACAGGGUACAUAAAGUCUUCUUGAUGUUGUAUAUUUUGCCUUAUUGUACUUCUGUAACAAUAGCAACUUUAAAUGAUGUUUAGGUCUUAUUGUAAUUCAGUCUUAAACCUGUUUGCUUUUUAUAAGCAGAAAUGACACAUAUACAAAUGAUCUGAAGAUCUCUGUUCUCCUGGGUAUUAAUUUUGGGGGGAGGUAUAGAAAACAUGCUUAGUAUAGAAUCUUCAUUCCUGGGUCACUGCUUUUAUCAGUAUCUGUUAGUGUAGGUAUUUUCUUGCACUGAAUUUAUUCAAUUUGUUUUUGUAUCUUCCUCUAGCAGAGUUCAUAGGUUUAUCUAGGUAUUAUAAAUUGUCAGUAAAUUACUCAGAUAUUUAGAAAGAAACAACUUUUAAUAACUUGGUGUUUAGUAUUCUUUAUAUUUAAAAAAUCUGAUAGUUGCUGUUAAUUUAGAUACAUUUGAACUGAAUGUGCCAUCUUUGGGAAGCUUUGAGAGAAGAUGUUGAAUCCUUGCUUUACAGUGUGGUGCAGUUUGUGAGUUUGCUAUCUGUCAGGAAGCACAUCUGUUAGAAAGUUGAUCUAAAGAAGGCCCUGCAAAUCUGAGUUGCUCAAUAGCGGAAUGUACAUCUUGCUGUGUUGGGAUUUUUGCCUGCUAUACUGGUCUGUAUUGUAAUAAGCG